rnacentral:tRNA from 1 species
ACCUGUCUGGCUCAGUCGGUGGAGUGUGUGACUCUUGAUCUCAGGGUUGUGAGUUUGAGCCACAUGUUGGGUG